GACGAACGCUGGCGGCGUGCUUAACACAUGCCAGUCGAACGGAAAGGCCCCCUUGUGGGGUACUCGAGUGGCGAACGGGUGAGUAACACGUGAGUGACCUACCCUUGACUUUGGGAUAACUUCAGGAAACUGGGGCUAAUACCGGAUAGGAGCUCCUGCUGCAUGGUGGGGGUUGGAAAGUUUCGGCGGUUGGGGAUGGACUCGCGGCUUAUCAGCUUGUUGGUGGGGUAGUGGCUCACCAAGGCUUUGACGGGUAGCCGGCCUGAGAGGGUGACCGGCCACAUUGGGACUGAGAUACGGCCCAGACUCCUACGGGAGGCAGCAGUGGGGAAUAUUGCACAAUGGGCGGAAGCCUGAUGCAGCAACGCCGCGUGCGGGAUGACGGCCUUCGGGUUGUAAACCGCUUUCGCCUGUGACGAAGCGUGAGUGACGGUAAUGGGUAAAGAAGCACCGGCUAACUACGUG
rnacentral:rRNA from 1 species